UAUGCUUUUCCUAAAGAUUAAGCCAUGCAUGCCUUCGAAUAGGAGGAAGCAAUUCUCUCUGAAUCUGCGAACGGCUCCGCAAACCAGCUGCAAACUAAGGUAGGCACGCCUGGUCUGGUACCCUCACGGGUCUGGGCUACGGCUACAUGGAUAACCCUGGUAAUUCUGAGGCUAAUACAUGACAGUACGCACGCUCGGUUGGCAUCAGUCUCCUCGGAGACCGCCGGCUGGGUGGAUGUGUGACUAACGGCCUGGGGAUCCGCGAUAGAACGCACGUUUAGACCAUCAUCAAUGGCCUCUACGGUCCUUCGGGACCUAAGCGGGUCAGAUGGCUCCUAUACAGUGCUUCUGACCUAUCAACUAGACAGCAGCGUAACGUACAUGCCGUGGUUUCUACGGGUACAGAGGAUUAGAGUUCGAUCCUGGAGAGUGGGCCUGAGAGAUUGCUCAUACUUCUAAGGAAGGCAGCAGGCGCGCAACGUUCCCAGUGGGCAAAGCCCGAGGGCGUUAGGGGACAUAUGAAUGCCUGCCAAUAAGGCGGGCAAUUCAAAUGGGUCUGUUGUAAAUAGGCUCUCGAGUAACAAUUAGAGGA
rnacentral:rRNA from 1 species